rnacentral:tRNA from 2 species
GGAGAAGUGCCAGAGUGGUCGAAUGGGACUGACUCGAAAUCAGUUGUAGGGGUAACUCUACCGGGGGUUCGAAUCCCUCCUUCUCCGCCA